AACGAACGCUGGCGGCAUGCCUAACACAUGCCAGUCGAACGAGACCUUCGGGUCUAGUGGCGCACGGGUGCGUAACGCGUGGGAACCUGCCCUUAGGUUCGGAAUAACUCCCCGAAAGGGGUGCUAAUACCGGAUAAUGUCUUCGGACCAAAGAUUUAUCGCCUUUGGAUGGGCCCGCGUUGGAUUAGCUAGUUGGUAGGGUAAAAGCCUACCAAGGCGACGAUCCAUAGCUGGUCUGAGAGGAUGAUCAGCCACACUGGGACUGAGACACGGCCCAGACUCCUACGGGAGGCAGCAGUGGGGAAUAUUGGACAAUGGGCGAAAGCCUGAUCCAGCAAUGCCGCGUGAGUGAUGAAGGCCUUAGGGUUGUAAAGCUCUUUUACCCGGGAUGAUAAUGACAGUACCGGGAGAAUAAGCUCCGGCAAACUCCGUG
rnacentral:rRNA from 1 species